rnacentral:rRNA from 1 species
AUGCUUUACAGCUUAGAAUCGGGGCUCCAAAAGCGUUUUGAGCGGCACAGAGCAUAUGAGAUGUUCCAAGAGCUGAAAAUGGUUUUCCAAGCUCAUGCCCGAGUCGAGAGAUAUGAAGUCUCUGACAAGUUCUACAGUUGUAAGAUGGAGGAAAAUAGUUCUGUCAGCGAGCAUAUACUCAAAAUGUCUGGGUUGCACAACCGCUUGUCUCAGCUGGGAGUUAAUCUUCCAGAUGACUCAGUCAUUGACAGGAUCCUCCAGUCGCUUCCACCUAGCUACAAGAGCUUUGUGAUGAACGACAAUAUGCAAGGGAUGGAGAAGUCCAUUCCUGAGUUAUAUUCAAUGCUGAAAUCAGCGGAGGUGGAAAUCAAAAAGGAACAUCAAGUGUUGGUGGUGAAUAAGACCACUAGUUUCAAGAAAGGCAAGUGUAAGAAGAACUUCAAGAAGGACGGGAAGGGAGUUGCCGCGCCCGGUAAGCCAAUUGCCGGGAAGUAG